rnacentral:snRNA from 1 species
CGAGAGUAGUACUAGGAUGGG